UCUUUGCACUCCGAUCUGUUGCCAAAUUCAACUUGGCGUGACACGCUCUCCGCCUCGUACAAGUGUAUCUACCGGUGCCAUCAGCUGUUUGUUGGCUACCCUGUUCAUCUACCAAAGCUCCGAGAGCUCUCUCCUUCUGGCUCAGCGUGGGUUUGAGUUUCCUCUGACUCGUCGGCCUUUAUUGUCUCCCUCCUCUCCUCCUCUGCUGUUGUGGAACGCGCCUGGGUGUAGCUGCAGACUCCCGGUUCGCUCUGAAUUGCUGCUGUUUUGUCCCCCCCCUCGAUACGUGCUUCGGACUGACGCGUCGCAGUGUCCGGUCAUCCGAGGGCUAUCACUCCGAAAGCAUUCAGCAGCCCAGCAUAAGUUAACUUGCGCAGGUGGCGCAUGUGGCCGAGUUCAGUGUGUGUGUGAAUGUAGUCUGUGUGAGUGAGUGUCCUGUUAUGUCGUGGUGA